AUUUGUAUUAGUGCAAGAACAUAGAAAAAAAAAAAGAAGCCCGAUGCGGGGCUCGAACCCGCAACCUUUUGAUUGACCUGAU
rnacentral:tRNA from 1 species